UGGCUCAGAACGAACGCUGGCGGCGUGGAUUAGGCAUGCAAGUCGAACGAAUCCCAGCUUUGUAGCAAUACCGAGCUGGGGGAAGUGGCGAAAGGGGCAGUAAUGCGUGGGUAACCUACCCUGGGGACUGGGAUAGCCUUCCUAACGGAAGGAUAAUACCGGGCGACGUAGUGAGGUCACAUGGUCUUGCUACCAAAUGAGUUUCGCCCUGGGAGGGGCUCACGUGCUAUUAGCUUGUUGGUGGGGUAACGGCUCACGAAGGCAAAGAUGGCUAGCGGGUGUGAGAGCACGACCCGCGCCACUGGCACUGAGACACGGACCAGACUCCUAC
rnacentral:rRNA from 1 species